rnacentral:rRNA from 1 species
GGCUCAGAUUGAACGCUGGCGGCAUGGCUAAAACAUGCAAGUCGAACGAUCCCUUCGGGGAGAGUGGCGAAAGGGCGAGGAAUACGAUCGAAUGUACCCCGAGGUGGGGGAUAGCUUGUGGAAACGCAAGGUAAUACCCCAUGUGCUCUACGGAGGAAAGGUUUACCGCCUUGGGAGCAGCGAUCGUCCUAUCAGGUAGUUGGUGGGGUAAAGGCCUACCAAGCCGAAGACGGGUAGCGGGUGUGAGAGCAUGACCCGCCGCAUCGGGACUGAGACACUGCCCGGACUCCUACGGGAGGCUGCAGUAACGAAUCUUCCGCAAUGGGCGAAAGCCUGA